GACGAACGCUGGCGGCGUGCCUAAUACAUGCAAGUCGAGCGGACGGAUGGGAACUUGCUCCCAGACCGUCAGCGGCGGACGAGUGAGUAACACGUGGGCAACCUGCCUGUAAGACUGGGAUAACUCCGGGAAACCGGGGCUAAUACCGGAUAACUCUUUCCCUCACCUGAGGGCAAGCUGAAAGAUGGCAUCUCGCUAUCACUUACAGAUGGGCCCGCGUCGCAUUAGCUAGUUGGUGAGGUACCGGCUCACCAAGGCGACGAUGCGUAGCCGACCUGAGAGGGUGAUCGGCCACACUGGGACUGAGACACGGCCCAGACUCCUACGGGAGGCAGCAGUAGGGAAUCUUCCGCAAUGGACGAAAGUCUGACGGAGCAACGCCGCGUGAGUGAUGAAGGUUUUCGGAUCGUAAAACUCUGUUGUCAGGGAAGAACAAGUACCGGAGUAACUGCCGGUACCUUGACGGUACCUGACCAGAAAGCCACGGCUAACUACGUG
rnacentral:rRNA from 1 species